GUGUUUGUCUAGUCCGUUUGUCGGUCGUGAUAAUAGACAUGCCCAGGGGUCCAGUGUUAUUUGUCGGUGUAGGAUUUUAGUGUGCAUGGCCACUAUCUUUUCCCAAAACUCCUUUACUUUAAUACACUGCCACCACAUGUGGAUGUAUGUGCCUUUUUCUCCACAUAGUCGCCAACAGGUAUCGGUGGGACAGAGUUGCAUGUGUUGUUGCUUGACUGGUGUUGUAUACCACCGAAGCAUUAUUUUAUAUGAUUGCUCCUGUAAGGUCGUGCAUAUAGACACUUUCGU